AUUGAACGCUGGCGGCAGGCCUAACACAUGCAAGUCGAGCGGAUGAAGGGAGCUUGCUCCUGGAUUCAGCGGCGGACGGGUGAGUAAUGCCUAGGAAUCUGCCUGGUAGUGGGGGAUAACGUCCGGAAACGGGCGCUAAUACCGCAUACGUCCUGAGGGAGAAAGUGGGGGGUCUUCGGACCUCACGCUAUCAGAUGAGCCUAGGUCGGAUUAGCUAGUUGGUGGGGUAAGGGCCUACCAAGGCGACGAUCCGUAACUGGUCUGAGAGGAUGAUCAGUCACACUGGAGCUGAGACACGGUCCAGACUCCUACGGGAGGCAGCAGUGUGGAAUAUUGGACAAUGGUCGAAAGCCUGAUCCAGCCAUGCCGCGUGUGUUGAGAAGGUCUUCGGAUUGUAAAGCACUUUAAGUUGGGAGGAAGGGCAGUAAGUUAAUACCUUGCUUUUUUGACGUUACCAACAGAAUAAGCACCGGCUAACUUCGUG
rnacentral:rRNA from 1 species